UAAUAUCAGGCUUCUUUGUAAAGGAAU
rnacentral:sRNA from 1 species